UCUUGUUAGGGUGCUCCUGCGGCCUCUUGCCAGUAUCUGUCCUUACAACAAUGAAAAACAGUGAGUGGAGCCCACCAAGCCCCUUGACCAGCAGGGAUGUGAUUUCAGACCCAGGCUGUUGAAGUUGAACAAGACCUCACUUCCAUCUUGUGAGAUGAAUGAUAAUUGGUGGAUAGAGACUGGUGGUAGAAGUGGAAGUGUGACCAAAAGAACAGUUUCAUCAGGUCCUGUGUUACAGGAAGUGGUUGAGCUACAUAGCAUGAAAAACAGGGAAGAUUCAAGGCAAGAUCUGAAUGGAACUAAAGUUUGGCUCAAUUUAUAUUUGUUAAACACAUAUACAGACAUGUAUAAUAUACAUA